rnacentral:rRNA from 1 species
AUUGAACGCUGGCGGCAGGCUUAACACAUGCAAGUCGAACGAGUGGCGGACGGGUGAGUAACGUCUGGGAAACUGCCCGAUGGAGGGGGAUAACCACUGGAAACGGUAGCUAUUCCAGCAUACCAUCGGAUGUGCCCCGCUGGGAUUAGCUGUUGGGUGGGGUAACGGCGCACCUAGGCCACCAUCCCUGGCUGGUCUGAGAGGAUGACCAGCCACACUGGAACUGAGACACGGUCCAGACUCCUACGGGAGGCAGCAGUGGGGAAUAUUGCACAAUGGGCGCAAGCCUGAUGCAGCCAUGCCGGGUGUAUGAAGAAGGCCUUCGGGUUGUAAAGUACUUUCAGCGAGGAGGCGUUACUCGCAGAAGAAGCAACGGCUAACUCCGUGCCAGCAGCCGCGGUAAUAC